CGGGCUGUAGCGCAGCUUGGUUAGCGCACUUGUCUGGGGGACAAGGGGUCGGGAGUUCAAAUCUCCCCAGCCCGAC
rnacentral:tRNA from 1 species